rnacentral:misc_RNA from 1 species
UCAAACUUGGUCAUUUAGAGGAAGUAAAAGUCGUAACAAGGUAACCGUAGGUGAACCUGCGGUUGGAUCAUUAAAAAAGAAAAAUAAUGUUUUCUAAAAAUUAAAAAGGGUAAAAAUUUCACCUCUUGAAGCGAUAGAAAAAGCCGAGUUGGUAUUUCUUUUUGUUUCGGGUGUCAUUUUAUUCUCUUUUUUAUUUUAAAAACAUUUCGAUCUUUUGUGAACUUGUAUCUUAAUUUGAUGGUAUUUGGGUUACUCUGUGGAGGAACUUGAUGUAAAUCCCAUCAAUUUAUUUUAACAACAAAACUUUUAAUUUUUUUUUAAUUCUUCUUUUUAUUUUCAUUAUUUUUUUAAUGGGAAAAAAAUUAAAUUGAAAAACAACUUUUGACAAUGGAUCUCUUGGCUCUCGCAUCGAUGAAGAACGCAGC